GCUUGCUUUGGCAGGCUAUAUACUAAAAUUGAAUCAAUACAGAAAAAAUCAUCUUGUGCAUGACUGUGCAAAAGGAUAACACACAAAUUCAUAAAAUGUUCCAUAUUUUA